AUGGCCCCAGAAUCACACUAAAAGUGUAGUUAAACUCUUCAAUUUAGAAUCCAUAGUUCCUGUCCUUGUAAAACACAGGAUUUCCAUCUUUUUUGCUACAUCUAAUGCCACUGUGAGUACACUUAAAAAUGAAAAUAUUUAGCUUAGCUCUGUCCCUUCUUCUCCUGACAUGGUUUCUGUCCUUAUUUCCAUUGUAAAACCUUAUAGAGACUAAUAUAUUCAAGGCUCUGCUAAAGAAGAACAUUGUUGAAAUGAAAAUAUGAAUAAAUACAUUGCAACAGUGGAUAUGCUAGAUUAACUUACACAGAAUGGAAUAAGUAGUGCAACAGUUGUCUUUAUACUGGAAAUGCUGAGAACCCAGUAGAUGCUUAGAUUACAAUGCUAGACAUCACAGCAGCACCAACCUGGCACUGAGGACCUGGAUGAUGAUCAGAGAACUGCUGUUCUUCAGUCAAUAUUGAAAAGCUUAAGAGACAAUGUUCUGAUAGCAGUAACCACCGACUAUGGCCUAAAUGAUUUCAUCAGCAUGAAGCAAAAGUGGGCAACCAAGAAACACUGAUUCGUCCUUGGAUCUCAUUAUAUCCAGGGCUGUUAGUGGAUGGUGUCUCCAAGGUUAAUUCUUCUGAUUAUGUCUUCACAGACCUGGAUAGAAGAUUUUUGAUUCCAAAUGUAUCAAACAACAUUGACCAUCACAGUCAGUACAGUUUCAUCACUACCAUUUUUGAGCAGCACCUUCACAUGUGCAGAAAAUGAAGCACGCCUCAGAGUGAAGACCAAAGAAGAAUUAGAGCUGGUGUAAAACACAUGUAUGUAUGACCACAGUAAUGGAGAAACAAGAUUAACAAAAAUAAAAGACUCCUCCAGGCAUUCA
rnacentral:lncRNA from 1 species